rnacentral:rRNA from 1 species
AGAGUUUGAUCCUGGCUCAGAACGAACGUUAGCGGCGCGCUUAACACAUGCAAGUCGUGCGAGAAAGGGCUUCGGCCUGAGUAAAGCGGCGCACGGGUGAGUAACACGUAGAUAAUCUACCUUCUGGUGGUGGAUAACCUUCCGAAAGGAAAGCUAAUACAGCGUAAGACCACGGGCUCGUAGAGCCUGCGGCCAAAGAGGGCCUCUCCAAGGAAGCUCUUGCCAGAAGAUGAGUCUGCGGCCCAUCAGCUUGUUGGUAGGGUAACGGCCUACCAAGGCAAAGACGGGUAGCUGGUCUGAGAGGAUGAACAGCCACACUGGAACUGAGACACGGUCCAGACUCCUACGGGAGGCAGCAGUGGGGAAUCUUGCGCAAUGGGCGAAAGCCUGACGCAGCGACGCCGCGUGAGCGACGAAGGCCCUCGGGUUGUAAAGCUCUGUGGAGAGGGAAGAAUAAGGUUAGGCUAAUAUCCUGACUGAUGACGGUACCUCUUUAGCAAGCACCGGCUAACUCUGUGCCAGCAGCCGCGGU